rnacentral:piRNA from 1 species
UAGGAUGUUUUGACAUUUCCUGAGGCAUGA